GGUUGCCGGGAAGGGGAGAAAGAAAGGCGGAAGGGGUCGUUAAUAGCUGAGGCGAGGUGCGGGGUCGUGGAGGGGACUUAGGAAUUGACCAGCGGGAGACGAUUGCCUCGAGCUGGAGAGUUCCAUGGCUGACAGUAGGCUCCGGGCCCCGGACCUAGGAGUUUCCAGGUGUCUAGGAAAAUGCCAGAAGAACUCACCAGGUGCUGGGAAGCAUCCCUUUUCUGGAAAGUCCUUUUACUUGGAUCUACCUGCUGGCAAGAAUCUCCAGUUUUUGACAGGGGCCAUUCAGCAACUGGGUGGGGUAAUUGAGGGUUUUCUGAGCAAAGAAGUAAGUUACAUCGUGUCCAGCCGCAGAGAAGUAAAGGCAGAGAGCAGUGGGACAAGACACAGAGGCUGCCCUAGCCCCAGUGAGGUCAGAGUGGAAACAUCGGCCAUGGUUGAUCCAAAAGGCAGCCACCCCAGGCCUUCACAGAAACCCAUUGACUCGGUGCCUCUAAGCAGAGGGAAGGAGCUGCUGCAGAAGGCCAUCAGAAACCAGGUGAGCUGGGGCAAGAUGGCACAGAGCGGGUGGUCUCCAGCACAGGGAGGGAUUUCACCCUUCUUCCCAGGUUCUUCUGAAGCACCCACACAAAAUGCACACUCUGCGAUGUGUAGUAUUGUCAUUAUUUCCUUCUUCUACAUCAGGUAGUGGAGGCUCAGACAAGUUAUUUAGCCAUUCACCUAGAGAUUAAGUGUUGAAGCCAGAGCCACCUCCAACUCUGGAGCCUAC
rnacentral:sRNA from 1 species